GAGGAAAACAAAGGGCACAGAGUGGGCUAUUUCUACAAGCUGAUUACGAAGACAGAAACAAAUUGUAAGAGCUAGGCCUUGAUUAAUGCCUGCUACAAUAUAAAAACUCAUGCGAAUCAUUACUACGUCAAAAAAAGUAGACCAUCAGUAAAUGCUAUACCUUUCCACAGAUGCAUUUUUUCACAGAUUCUUCAGGGUGUACCUCAAAAGCCUACCUUCUCAGCUCUUCCAUGUGGGUGGCAGAGGGCUCACUCAGCUUAGUUUUGCUGUGCUGAAAUGAUCCUGCAGUACUACGAUGCCAUGAGCUGGCAAGGCAGUAGGUGUUUAAUGUUGCUCUUUCAAAGCAUAUUAAGAACGCUGCAACUUUCUUGGCUCAGGAGAUACAUUUCCAGCUGCUGCAUGGCUCUGCCAGCAUUGCAUGAGGACUACCCCAUGUGCUCACCCUUUGUGCCCGAUAAUGCACUGAGGUGAGGAUGACCAGAUGACAGCUCCCUACUUAAAUGCUGGUGCACAGUUAGGAUCAGUCUGUUUGCAGUAGCAUGCUCUUAGGGUCAUAUCAGAGCACACUCUAACCUUUCAAUAAACACAGUUAAGGACUGCCAUGCUGCUUAUCUCUGCUACAGCAAUGCAGAAGCCUGGCACGUUGUUCCUUCUGGAGAAAGCGGAUGUUCAGGACGUAGUUGUGAAGAACCACUGAAGCUGUGAAAGGAAAAGCUAAGGAAUAUCACACCAGGUACACAAAUCCAUGCGACACGAAGAGUAUCUCAUGAAGGCUGUCUCCUGCUAUGAGAAAGCCAAGGACAAAACUAGACCUCUGGCUGCUUUGAAGCCACCUGUUUGUAUUGGAACAGGCUGAACAAUUCACAGAGUCAACCUCAUGCCACGUUUUAAAGCUGACAUCAGCAAGCUAUCAAAACUGUCAGGGGUACUGGGACUGACUGAUAGCAAUAGGAUAUCAUUCAAUACCAGAACAUCUAUGCUACGCAGUCUAUGGCAGGAGGAAGAGAAACCAGCAGGAAUCCCUCACCUGGCCACUCUGAUAGGGAAGCCUCCUCUGUCUUCUCAUCUGAUAAUGGAUACAGCAGGAAGGCAACUCCACAGCAAAGUGCAAAUAAGAACAGCUGCUUUCUGAGAAGGAAUUGGAGCUGCCGUGCUUGUGCGAAACACAGAUUUUCCUAAAGAAGAAAGGCACUGCACAUAGAUGCAUGUCUACUGCGUCACUUUUAGCAAGUCUACUGUAUUCCUAAAAUGCAUCUUUACCUCUCCCACCAACAAAAGAAAUCCAAAACAAAUCCUGAAGUGGCCUUUGAAAUACUGAGGAACCAAUGUGGGAAUAGGAUGCUUUGGAGAUGUAUACCUACUUUUUAUUGCAUUAAGACGCAGAGGAAAGGCUUCAUAUCAACCUGGACUGUCAAAUAUUCCGUGAUUUUCUUUUCUGUCUUUUGAGCUCAGUGAUAAACAUACUAUAUAUAUUGUGCUGCAUGGGAUACAAACUUACCUGCCAUUGAAAAAAGAACAAUUCAUAGCACCGACUGUUUAGUAUGUUCAUUAAAUGCACAGGAAGUGCAACUGUGGGAAAACUCUAACAUCCAAACUUUGUUCUUACUGGGGCCUUUGAAACCUGCUGUCUCACCAUUUUCAUUGUUGAUGUGCAGCAGAUGAUAGAUGUACUUCAAAUAUCAAAGCUGUUUUCUUAUUAUUUAAAAUGUAAUUAAUGUUUUGUAAGGAAUCUGACAAUACUAAACAGGAAUCUACUGAUUAUUGUUUACCUAUUUCAAUGUUUGCUUUAGAGACAUUUGAAAAAGAAUAUUUAGGUCAUCUAGUCUUAAAGACUGUCCUUGGUUUAAAGGUUCAUGACACGACGCAGAAAGACAAGCUGUCAUUUUUAAGAUUACUACUUGCAUUAGUUGGGAUUAAAUGAUUCAUCAAUUCAUCUGAACAAAAUUCCGUGUAAAUAGGUGGCUAAUCAUUUUUCACCAUUUUCCUGCAGAGCAGUAAGAGGUGGCAUCUCUUGAGUGUUACACCUGGUAUCUAGCAAAAUAGCAUUUCAAAGCAUGCAACUAAGUUUUUCAUAUUAUCUUCACAAGCAAAUUAUUCUAGCACAAAAUCAGAAAUCUACUCCUGAUUAUUAUGCAAGAUUCAGUUAAUUAUUAUGCAAGAUUCAGUUAAACCAACUCCAUGUUGUUUUUUUCUCAAAAAAUACUGGUAUAUCACUCUCAUAUACAACUAUAGCUUUUAAAGUGGUCGAAAUACUAUUUUCCUUGUUCUCCUCCAAAUAGCUGACUCCUGUCUGUUACAACCCCAACACUGUGUGUAAACCCCUUUUUAAAACAGUGUUGAAUACAAGCAGUGUAUUUUAAUUGCCCAGGGCUAAUGUGCCUGCAGUCCUAAAUUCCCCUUACCAUCUACAAAACCCAGACAGGCACUCACAGAACAGAUGGGAGUGCCCAGCUUUAGCUGCUGUUGGAGGGAGGAGAGAAACAUUAUUAUGUAGUUGCUUCAUAAAAAUAGGCUGGAUUCUUUAGACAAGGAGAGGCCAACCACAGCAGGUUCAUUUACAUUGCAGUGUGGUCUCCAGAGAAAUCCUGCCUGGAGUUCUGGGACUGCUGCAGCACUUUCACUCCUUGCUAUCUUUUGCUGAAUGUGAAAUCAUAUGGAUAUGCUCACUGUGUUUAAGGAUGUUAGACAGAAAAGGAACCUCCCUGAAUCUGACACACACACCAACAGUCAGCUCUUAUCAACUUUGCAAAUUACUGCAUGAAGAAGAGAAAAAGAAUGAGCAUGUGUAUGUGUGUCAUUUCUGCUAGGAGGGACUGGUGAGCCUAGUGACCAUGCUUGUUUCACUGUGAAUCAUAACCUGACUCACUGCCACAACAAUAUAUGGGUCAGCCUUGCAAUCUGGGAACAGGAGAGCAGGAUUAGUCUUUGCAACACAAGAUGUGUAGCUUGCUGUCCACCUCCCUCAGAAGCGGUUGAGCCUCUCAGCUUCUGCUGGACAAUGUGUAUAGUUGGCAUAACUGAGAAAAUCUCUUAAAAGUACCAAAGAAUCAAGGAGUUUGACACCUGGAGACAUGCCUACUCCUGAGAUUUUUUGGUACUUAAACAACCUAAACAGAACCUACACAUUUCAAGGCCUGGAUUUACUUGUGAUGGCACUAGUGAAGGGAGAGGGGGAAGGACAGCCAUGCAGUUAUGUAGCCAUUUUCCCAUCAUGAAUUUCACAACUUAUGCUAAACUAGGCAGUGCUGGCAGGGAAAACCACAAACCCUUAGCUCCCUUUGUGUAUCAGCCCUUGCUGUUUCUGCAGUCUUCUACAGCAAAUACCAUUAUCCCCAUGUUAAAGCUGUGGAAGCUGAGUCAGAUAGUUCAAGUGAACUUACCAAAGGAUCCCAGGUGUCUUUCAGACACAGAAUGGGACUAAGGGAUCCCUUUGUUGUUUAUUCCAGGUUGUUUCUCACAUUACUGACAUACUCAUCUCUGUUGCUCAGGUUGCAUGGCAGACAGUUCAGCAGGAAUAAACUGGAUGUAUGUCCUAGCCUUCACUUACUCUCAGUGGUUGCCUAAGGGCACCGUGCUAUACAACCAGUCUAGGGUCCCCUAAGGACACACGAAGUGCCAUGGUUCUUUCAUUAUAAAUCCCAGCCUUACGGGAUCAAAUGGGAUAGUCAAUGAUAAAAAGAAAAAAAAUCCUCCAGCCUUAUUAAAGAAAUGGAUUGGGUGAGUUGUCAAGAGUAACCAAGGACUCCUCUUGAGCAGUGAAAAGCCUGCAAGAAAACAGGCAGACACUCAUGAAUUACAGCAGGCUAGAUCUGUCCCAACUCAGAGAUGGCUUCAUUGAAGAAAUCCUACAAAAGCUUGAUAGGAAAAUUAAUGUAUCUUUUGCCUUGAUUAUUGUACAUCUUUGAGUGAAUAAGUAGUACUCUUAUUUUGAAGGAGCUACAUCUGAGCUACUUUUAUAUCCACUACCACUGUCUCCUGUAACAGGGAUGAGAAAUGCACAAUAUGGCCUGGCUUUCCAGAGUUAAAAGAGAUGGCAAACAGGUUGACUGCCACAGAUAGAUGCAAUCUCAGAGAAAGAAGACUAUGUAGUUCCACCUGGAAGAGGACAACACAGAGAAACACCUGUUCUCAAAGAGUAUGCUCAGGAAGCUCUAAAGCAUCAUAUCCAUAACCAUGAGCUACAGGACUGUUCAUUUAGGGCAGGUUUUGCCUCCUUUCUUGUGUCUAGUCAUCAUUAAAGGAUCUGAAUGCCAUCCCAGCCAACGCCUCAUUUUGAGUGAGAUGUAGAAUUAUAAUCUGAAUCAGGACUAAUAUUCAUAUUGAAUGGUUUGAUUCUAUGGCUACAAUGGCAAUAAAAUAAAAUCCUAGAAUACAAAUACUCUCUGAGUUUAUGGGAUUCGGAAUCCUUAGAAUACUUUGCUGUUUGGGAACACCAUCGAAAUUUCAAUUCCCGACCUGUUCUGUGCCAAGA